ACUCCUACGGGAGGCAGCAGUGGGGAAUAUUGGACAAUGGGCGCAAGCCUGAUCCAGCCAUGCCGCGUGAGUGAUGAAGGCCCUAGGGUUGUAAAGCUCUUUCACCGGUGAAGAUAAUGACGGUAACCGGAGAAGAAGCCCCGGCUAACUUCGUGCCAGCAGCCGCGGUAAUACGAAGGGGGCUAGCGUUGUUCGGAUUUACUGGGCGUAAAGCGCACGUAGGCGGACUUUUAAGUCAGGGGUG
rnacentral:rRNA from 1 species